rnacentral:ribozyme from 14 species
AGAACAGGUAUAGUUAUGUCGAUUGUCAGCAUUUUUGUAGAUUUCUUCUGACUUGUAGCACGACAAAAAAAAAAAUACAGAACAGAUAUUAUUAUUUGUUUCUUUUGUA